rnacentral:rRNA from 1 species
AACGAACGCUGGCGGCAGGCCUAACACAUGCAAGUCGAGCGAGAUCUUCGGGUCUAGCGGCGGACGGGUGAGUAACGCGUGGGAAUAUGCCCUUUGGUGCGGAAUAGCCUCGGGAAACUGGGAGUAAUACCGCAUGUGCCCUUCGGGGGAAAGAUUUAUCGCCAAAGGAUUAGCCCGCGUUGGAUUAGGUAGUUGGUGGGGUAAUGGCCUACCAAGCCUACGAUUCAUAGCUGGUUUGAGAGGAUGAUCAGCCACACUGGGACUGAGACACGGCCCAGACUCCUACGGGAGGCAGCAGUGGGGAAUCUUAGACAAUGGGGGAAACCCUGAUCUAGCCAUGCCGCGUGAGCGAUGAAGGCCUUAGGGUUGUAAAGCUCUUUCAGCUGGGAAGAUAAUGACGGUACCAGCAGAAGAAGCCCCGGCUAACUCCGUGCCAGCCGCCGCCGUAACAC